GUAGAGAUGGUUCAGUGGUUAAGAGCACUGACUGAAAUUCCAGAGGACCUAGGUUCAGUUCCCAGCACCUACA
rnacentral:tRNA from 1 species